rnacentral:rRNA from 1 species
ACGGCGAGUGAAGCGGCAACAGCUCAAAUUUGAAAUCUGGCCUUACGGUCCGAGUUGUAAUUUGUAGAGGAUGUUUUGUGGGUACCGCCGCGGUUUAAAUUUCUUGGAACAGAAUGUCAAAGAGGGUGAGAGUCCCGUCUUGGAUCGCGGUAGGGCCUGUGUAAAACUCCUUCGACGAGUCGACUUGUUUGGGAAUGCAGGUCAAAAUGGGUGGUAAAUUUCAUCUAAAGCUAAAUAUUGGCCAGAGACCGAUAGCGCACAAGUAGAGUGAUCGAAAGAUGAAAAGCACUUUGAAAAGAGAGUUAAACAGUAUGUGAAAUUGUUGAAAGGGAAGCGCUGGCAACCAGACUCGUGCGCGGGGUUCCCCCUUGCUUCUGCUUGGGUCACUUCCCCGUGUCCGGGCCAUCAUCAGUUUCGGGGGCCGGUUAAAGGCUCUGGGAAUGUAUCUACUCCUUCGGGGGUAGACUUAUAGCCCAGGGUGUCAUGCGGCCACUCGGGACUGAGGAACGCGCUUCGGCGAGGAUGAUGGCGUAAUGGUUGUCAGCGACCCGUCUUGAAACACGGACCAAGGAGUCUAACAUCUAUGCGAGUGUUCGGGUGUCAAACCCUUGCGCGGAAUGAAAGUGAACGGAGGUAGGAAGGCUUAAGCCUGCACUAUCGACCGAUCCUGAUGUCUUCGGAUGGAUUUGAGUAAGAGCAUAGCUGUUGGGACCCGAAAGAUGGUGAACUAUGCGUGAAUAGGGUGAAGCCAGAGGAAACUCUGGUGGAGGCUCGCAGCGGUUCUGACGUGCAAAUCGAUCGUCAAAUUUGCGUAUAGGGGCGAAAGAC